rnacentral:rRNA from 1 species
UACGAAGGUCCCAAGCGUUAUUCGGAAUCACUGGGCGUAAAGGGCGCGUAGGCGGCGUGGUAAGUCAGAUGUGAAAUCCCGGGGCUCAACCCCGGAACUGCAUCCGAUACUGCCGUGCUAGAGGAUUGGAGAGGUAGCUGGAAUUCUUGGUGUAGCAGUGAAAUGCGUGGAUAUCAAGAGGAACACUCGUGGCGAAAGCGAGCUACUGGACAACUCCUGACGCUGAGGCUCGAAGGCCAGGGUAGCGAAAGGG